UUUUUUGCUGACAAAUUUCCUUCUUUUUAACCCUUUUUUUUUUUUUUUUUUUUUUUUGUACAACACAGCAAAAGUAACGGUUUUGACGCUCUCUAGAUAGCGCUGUAUGUAUGUGACCGAACCGAUGAAAAAACCUGUAUGGAGCAGCAGAUUAUACGACUGUAACUGGGGAUGCGUUUGCUUUUAGUUGUCAUUUUUGCUUUAGUCACCUGUUUCCAAUUCACAUGUAACAGCAAAUCUUGGCUACACCGCAGUUUAAGUGCCUGUAUUUAAUGCUUCAGUCGGCCCUAAAUUACACUUGAUUAGCAGUAUUUUAACAGCUGGGUUUUCUAUGCAGGCUAAAUUCCAGCCAAGCUUUUUGUUGUCUUUGAUUCUGCUUCCCGUAAAGCAAGGCAAAGAGAAAGGAAAGAUCCACCAGACGAAAGAGAAGAAAGUGUAACAGGUAGGUUUGGAAAACGCAGGAUGAUUGAAUCAUCGGGAAGCAUAAUGGCGUCAUAUGGUGCAUGUGUGUUUGCAGGUUUUUUAAAAAAAAAGGCUGCAAUAUGGUAGACAUCGGAAGGGGAGGCAGGAGGUUCUGAGUUGGUAGCCGAAUGAUUAUCUUGUCAAAUGCUUCAAACUUGAAGUUUUAACAAAUCAAUUAAAUGUGUUUGCAUUAUACCCCACCUCAGAUUUUGUAAACAAAAAACUUCUGAUCAUAAACUUGAGUCUGUUCCAUCUAACUACUCAUUUAAAAAAAUUCCCAAACGGGGGACAGAUUUGAUUUUUUUUUUUUUCUUCCCCUUCAAUUUGAUAUUCUAAUGUAGCCGGUUAAAAAAUUAACACAAAUGAUUGGGUUUAAUUGUAAGAUUUUACAGCGGCAGCAUAAAAAUUAUUUUGAUUUCAUCAUUCUAAAAAUGACUCAACACCCAAAACACUACAGAUUAUAUAUUUUCCUCAAGAUGAAGCUCGUUGUGGGGGGAUUUUAUUCCCCCUCUUUAUACAAAGGAAAUAAUACGACCCAAAUUGAGCCCAAUUUUUGGACAUAUGUCCUCAAAUUUGAGUCUAGAUAAAUUUCGUCUGACAUGCCGAGAAAGUGGCUGUGAAAUAAUCCAAAACCAUGCCGCCUCCGCCUCCAUGCUUACCAGCUGGUGUAAGGUGUUUGUGCUGAAACUCCAUACUUUGUUUUUCAUCGUUACGGCUAAACACAUUCCCUUUCAUCUCAGGUUUGUUUGCAUUUGGCAUGCCAGGUGAGGUCUGUAAAGUCUGAGUUGCAGCUCCUGGGAUUUUGCAGCUUUUCUAAACAUUUUGUCAGAAUAAACUGGUACGUCCUCUUCUCUGGAGA